AAAAAAUGUAUUAGGCCAUACAUAUAACUGUUAUUGUUAUUAGCUUAUAACAACAGGAGGACAUAUGAAAUUCUUUAGAGACAGCCUUUGAGUUGGUGAUAAGCUUAUGCACUGAAGAAGCCUUGACCAGCAAAACCUGUGUCAUGAGAGGCAGAGUCCCACUUUUCUGUAUAUUAUGC
rnacentral:sRNA from 1 species